GCAUCAGAAUUCAUCGAUAUGUAACCCUGAUCGAAAAGUCCCAACCAGUGGGACUCUUGACCCCGGUACCCAUAAUGUGUGGAACUCGUGAUUAGAGAAUCUUGAUUCUCGAUCACUGAGUCUCAAACAUGUAGGAUUCUAUAUCAGCCAUCAGAUCAGAUAGGAACCUCUAAUGUGUGUGACCCCGCAGGUUCGAACCUAAGCCGGUAGCACAGGAACCAAUUCCUGUACUAAUCAAAGUGACCAUCUAGCAAUGGUACCCGACGUCCGGAUAGGU
rnacentral:lncRNA from 1 species